UUAAUCCCAAUAACUCGCCCAAAGAAUAUUUGCUUUCUGUCCUGGCAGCUCUGCUGCUUUGGCAAUAACUUCCUAGAAUAUAAUGUCUCCACCAGGGGACUCCACAACGGUUCCAUUGAUUUGAAGCCAAUGGGCAGAGGAGGGGCUGCCUUACUGGUCGGACUGGUCAGCCCUGAUUACUAAGGAGAAAUCAGGCAACUUCAACAAAACUAAGGCAGGGGGGACUUUGUCUAGAACCCAAAGCACUAAGCAUCUUAGUACUUUUUAGUUCUCAGAGCCUCCAAGAACAAAGAUUUAGCCCCUCAGCACCACCAGGUAAAGAACAGGUAAAUCCAGCUGAGGACAAGAGAAAUAUUGAAUGGAUAGAGGAAGAAAGAAAUUAUAGAUAUCAACUAUGGCCUCAUGACUAGAGUCUCCAGAUUUAGCAAAUAAAAAUACAGAUGAUUAGAUCUGAACAUCAGGUAAACAACGAACAACAGUUUAAGUGCGACCUAGGCAAUAUUUGGGACAUACUUAUACUAAAAUUUUUUCGCUAUUUGAGCAUCCUGUAUUUUAUCUGGCAACUUUAUUCAUCCCUAGCGAAAAAGGAACUGUGGUAACUUAGUGUAUUUUUACUUUGCUCAUUAUUGUGUAUAUACCUACUUGUAUUUAUCAAUCAUAUUUACUCUGUUCUCAGUAUUACUUUAUAUAGCAGUUGGUGGUGAUGGUUAGCAACAUAUUCAGUGGAACUGUGACUGAAUUUGAGGAGAAAUUAACAGAGUUGGCUGUGGCUACAAUAACCCUUCGGGACAUGUGUCCCCUCAUUUUGGGGAGAUGGUUAGAUCUCUGGGUAAAUGUUAGGGCAUCUGAGCCAGAAACCAAGAUUUUGCCAGCUGGUGCAAUGUCAGAUUUUACCAGCAGAGGGUGCCAGAGGAAUGCGGCAAAACCCGAGUGCCAGAAAGCACCUCCCUGUUUUCCAGCUUUUCUUCCUUUUUAUUUAUUUUAUUUACGGCCCAGGAGUCCGUAAUAGCGCUGAGGAUGGCCCAGGCUCUUCUCAGCAGCCCUGACUGACUAGUUCAGCAAUGCGCUCAGGCCCCAUCUGGCCACCGGGCAGCCUCUUCUGUGGUAGCUCCAGCCUCAGCCAGUGCAAAAGGCUACCCUACACUGGCGCCACUUCUACAAUCAGCACUGGCCACACCCUCCACGCCAUCCGGCACGGAGCCAGGUGAUCUGCCGGCCAGAUUGCAGUUCGUGCUGCCUGAGUCCAGGUGAUUACACUGGCUGCAUCUUUUCUUUCUGGACCAUUCAUUCAUUUUUUUUUUAAGCUUUUAUUUUUAUUUAUUUAUUUUUGCUUUUUAGGGCCUCACCCGUGGCAUAUGGAUGUUCCCAGGCCAGGGGGUGGAAUCAGAGCUACAGCCGUGAGCCUACACCACAGGUCACAGCAGUGCCAGAUCUCUGACCCACUGAGUGAGGCCAAGGAAUCAAACCUGCAACUUCAUGAUUCCUAGUCGGAUUUGUUAACCACUGAGCCACGACGGGAACUCCCCCAAUUUUUUUCAACUACUACUAAGGCAGCCGUUAGCAAACAAUGCCAUUAAUAAUACCCAGAAGAGAGGAUGUCGGGUCUAAAGGAAAGCACUUUUUUUUCUGCGCCCUCUUGUGGCUACCGUGCUAAAUCACACCAGGUCCUGUCUUUCUAAGUCUUUUCAACACUGGAGAGCCUCGGGCUUUUCCUUUUCCGCCCAGAUGCUCCUACUACAGUCCUUCCUCACCGCUGUCAGUACUGCCAGACAAACUCCACGUCUAUGCCAGGCGCCAGGAAGGGUAGAGUCUCCUUCUUUGUCCUGAGCAGGGGAGAGGGGCUUUCUGGGCACCUAGCGCAGUGCUUCGUGCACAGUGUUCCUUCCCAGCUCUGCCGCUAUUUCAAUAAACUCUGGAGCCUCAGUUUCCCAGUCGGUGUCCCUGAAUGGUCCCCAAGCCCAGUGGUGUGUGACUAAAAGAUGAACAGCCAACGCGGAGUUGGAGCGUCAGGGGGAGACCCUUAUGUGUAGCGUAGCGUUUGCCAGUUUCCGUGACCUACUCCACCGCGCCGCUUCCAGGCUGAUGAGGUACAUCGCUGAACACAGAGCUGGGAGGAGACGCGUUCCAUCCACAGUUCCUGGGAGCGGGGCCACCCGCCCAGCACCAGCUCACGCCUGGCAGCCGCCCUCUUCCUAGUCCUGCUGGCUGGAGAGGCAGGAGCCCUGCCCUGGGCUUCUGUACAAGUAGAUGGUGGCCCCUAGUGGCAAAGCCAAGCCAAUCCCAGACCAGGUGCGGAAGGGCCUAGAACUCAAGAAAAGGAGCAGGAAUCCCUCCCCACCAACCCACCAGGCAGUUUCUCUCCUCUUACUCAGCGCUGAGGGCCUGUCAUCUCUAGGAAAGACUCCACACCUGGGGUACGCAAGGGGGACCCCUGAGAGUCUUCCUCUGUGUUGGGGCUGGAAUGGGGUGUCUGGCUUUCAAGCCUGGGUGGGGGACAAGGGGAAGAAGUGACCCCAUGGGCAGUAAAUUCCCACAUCCAGUGGGCAGGUCACUGUUGCAGACCGUCAGCACACCCCCUGAUGCAGAAUUACCAGAGGAGCACACCCACCCCAAGCAGCCCCCACAGCUUCCCUAGAACAAGUCCCUAGGCUGGCACUCCCAAAGCAUUUGCUCCUGAGGACUCUUUCUUGGGGCCCUGGACCCCAGAGCUUCUAUCUGGCCCAAGACGCCUCUCUAAUUUUCUGGGUCAUCCCCAGAUCUCAGCGCCCUGUGCCCCUGCCCCCAUGGUAAGCUAGGAUUGGGGGAAGGAGGGUAGUCCCUGUGAUGGUGAAACUGUGGAUAAUGCUGAGUCAAACCCACUCCACCUGCCUUCAUUAAUCAAGCUCAUUUUAAGACCUGCCUGUCCUUCAAGCUGCAUGUAGCCUAAUCAAUACAAACAUUUGCCCAGGUUAUUUUCCAGAAUCUUGGAAUCAGCUGGGUCUGGUUUGAGCGGCGCCUAAGACUGACUCUCCGUCUGGGCAUGUGCCGGCAUCUACCCUGUGAAAACUCCACCUCCAGGUCGGUGCUGUGGACCUGCAGAAGCCAGCAGGCAGGAUGAUCAUGGUCACCUGGCCACACAGCAGCACACAGAAAAUGCCGCUCAACUAUCCCGAGAGUGAGGUUGCGACAUUUCAACACUGGAGAGCGCCAGAGACCGCGAAAUCCAAUCCAGGCUCGAAGGGCUGCAGCACCAAAUGUGUCCACCAGGCGGCGCGAGAGCUGGAGGAGGGCCGGCACCUCUAGGUUCUCCCUGUGCUGUGAUGGGGCAGAGAGGGAUGCAAGCCCAAGAGGACGGUCUUAGGACCCAGCCAGGUUACCAGUGCUCUUUACCCCAAACGGUUGGGGAAACUAAAGCUUUAGUCUAUGAGCUAAUAUGUGACCAGAAAAAAAAUUUUUUUUUGUUUUUUUUGUCUUUUUGCUAUUUCUUGGGCUGAUCCCGCGGCAUAUGGAGGUUCCCAGGCUAGGGGUCCAAUAAGAGCUGUACCACAGCAACGCAGGAUUCGAGCCAUGUCUGCUGCCUACACCACAGCUCACGGCAACGCCGGAUCCUCAACCCACUGAGCAAGGCCAGAGGUCAAACUCACAAUCUCAUGGUUCCUAGUCGGAUUCUCUAACCACUGAGCCACGAUGGGAACUCCUCUACAACACUCUUAAAAGAAAACAUACAAAUAAUCUUCAUCAUCUUGGAUUAAGCAAUGAUAUUUUAGGACACCAAAAGUACAAAUAACAGAAGAAAAAAUACAUAAUCUGAACUUCAUCAAAACCAAAACCUAAUAAGCCGGUGAAGAAGAUGAAAUGAAAUCACACACACACAGGCACACACAUCAAUUAAUGCAAAAAAACAGGAAGAGAAUAUGGGACAAGCAGAAAACAAAUAGCAUGAUGGUAUAUUUAAACACCACCACAUCAAUACUCACAUUAAAUGUAAGUGGUCUAGAUAUGCCAAUUAAAGGUAGAGAUUAUCUGAUUAAAUGAAACGCAAGACUCAACUAUACACUUGCUACAAGAAAUCAAUUUUUUUAUGGCCACACCUACAGCAUAUGAAAGUUCCCAGGCCAGGGAUCCAACCCACACCUCCUCAGCAGCGACCUAAGCUUCUGCAGUCAGAUCCUUAACCCGCUGCACCAUAGCAGUAACUUUCAAGAAAUCUACUUUUUAUUUUAUUUUAUUUUAUUUUAUUUUAUUUUUAAAUUAAAUUAAAAAUUUUUUAGUGCCACACCUGUGGCGUAUGGAGGUUCCCAGGCUAGGGGUCCAAUCGGAGCUACAGCUGCCAGCCACAGCCACAGCAAAGCAGGAUUUGAGCGACAUCUCUGACCUACACCACAGCUCACGGCAACACCAGAUCUUUAACCCACUGAGCAAGGCCAGGGAUCGAACCUUCGACCUCAUGGAUACUUGUCGGGUUCAUUAACCACUGAGUCACAAUAGUAACUCCCCAGGAAAUCUACUUUAAAUAAAGAGGUACUAACAGGUUAAAAAUAAAAGGAUAGAAAAAGACAUACCACACUAACACUAAAUGAAAGCUGAACUGGCUAUAUUAACAUAAAAAUUGGAGUUCCCGUCGUGGUGCAGCGGAAACAAAUCCAACCAGGAACCAUGGGGCUGUGGGUUCAAUCCCUGGCCUUGCUCAGCGGGUUAAGGAUCCGGUGUUGCCAUGAGCUGUGGUGUAGGUCACAAAUGCGGCUCGGAUCUGGUGUUGCUGUGGCUGUGGUGUAGCCCGGCAGCUACAGCUCCAAUUGAACCCUUAGCCUGGGAACCUCCAUAUGCCAAGGGUGCAGCCCUAAAAGGACAAAAGACAAAAAAAAAAAAACCAUAAAAAU
rnacentral:lncRNA from 1 species